rnacentral:rRNA from 1 species
GAUGAACGCUGGCGGCGUGCCUAAUACAUGCAAGUCGAGCGAACAGAUGAGGAGCUUGCUCCUCUGACGUUAGCGGCGGACGGGUGAGUAACACGUGGAUAACCUACCUAUAAGACUGGGAUAACUUCGGGAAACCGGAGCUAAUACCGGAUAAUAUAUUGAACCGCAUGGUUCAAUAGUGAAAGACGGUUUUGCUGUCACUUAUAGAUGGAUCCGCGCCGCAUUAGCUAGUUGGUAAGGUAACGGCUUACCAAGGCAACGAUGCGUAGCCGACCUGAGAGGGUGAUCGGCCACACUGGAACUGAGACACGGUCCAGACUCCUACGGGAGGCAGCAGUAGGGAAUCUGCCGCAAUGGGCGAAAGCUUGACGGAGCAACGCCGCGUGAGUGAUGAAGGUCUUCGGAUCGUAAAACUCUGUUAUUAGGGAAGAACAAAUGUGUAAGUAACUAUGCACGUCUUGACGGUACCUAAUCAGAAAGCCACGGCUAACUACGUG